UACGUAGGCAGCAAGCGUUGUUCGGAAUUACUGGGCGUAAAGGGCGCGUAGGCGGCUCUGCACGUCCGUUGUGAAAUCGCCCGGCUCAACUGGGCGGGGUCAGCGGAUACGGCGGAGCUUGAGCAAGCUAGGGGGCAAUGGAAUUCCCGGUGUAGUGGUGGAAUGCGUAGAUAUCGGGAGGAACACCAGUGGCGAAGGCGGUUGCCUGGGGCUUUGCUGACGCUGAUUCGCGAAAGCGUGGGGAGCGAUCCGG
rnacentral:rRNA from 1 species